rnacentral:lncRNA from 1 species
AAACAACUGUAAAAAACAGGCUAGACAACCACAAGAAAAGUCAUAUUAUGAAACUUGCAAAGCAUUAUGGCACUAAACAACAUUAACAACCCAAAACCAAAAGCACUGUUGAAUUCACUCUCUCUCUCUCCAAACCCCCAUGACUCGCAGCUCCUCCCUCCCUAUCUUCUGUCUAGGCAAGUGAGAAGUGGCUGGCCAAGGGCACAGUCCAGCCUGGCAAAAACAGAAGGAGGAUGUGAAGCAGAGUCAGAAGGGGAUGUGACUGGCUGAGGAGGAGGUAUGGCCUCUGGAGAACACCACAGGUCAGAUAGAGAGGCCUGGGGGACUGCAUUUGACCCUCCAGGUCUGAGCUUCUCCACCCCUACUGUAGACAAUGCUGAACUAGGUGGAACCAGGGUCUGGCUCAGUAUAAGGCAGCUUCAGGUGAUCGAUUCACCUGUGGGAAGAGUGAGUACAUGUGCAGAGAGCAGUUUCAGAAGCAACCCCAGGAGGCUUUGCUGACAAACUGCUGUUCAUUAGCUGUUUAGAGCUGUUCGCAGACGCCUACAUUUCUACAAUUCCCAGCACCCUUAACAAACUGUAGUUCCCAGGAUUCUUUGGGGGAAGCCAUGACAGCCAAAAUGGCACAAGAGUGCUUUAAAUAUAUGAAAUGCAGAUUUAAAAAAAUGUUGAGUUAGAUCCAGACUUAAGUUAGUUGAAAUCAAGUGGUGUUAAUUUAAGUCAUGACUAACUUAUUCCAUUGAUUUCAAGGGGACCUGUGUUCGGCUUACUUGCUCCAACCUAAUGGACCCUUAAAAAAAAACCAGUAUUGCCUGAUUAAUCUGGGAUGCCUCUUUAGCCAAUUAAAAAAGAUUUUUAAUUGAUCAACCCAACAAAUUAACUCAUUAAAGCACCCUCAAUCUGAUGCCCGCCAGAUAUUGGGAGUUGUAAUCCAAAACAUCUGGAGGGCAUCAGGUUGGAGAAGACUGCAUCAAAGGUUACAGCCCUGCUGCUAAUGACUGUCCCUAUUGGGGUAUCUUAUCAUGCAUCUCUCUGUAGUCAUAAGCACAAUUUCACAGGCAUUCUGUUCUGGUUAUUGUCAAGUGUGGAGUAUCUCUUGUAGAGCUAUGCAGGGCCUGUGAAAUCUGGUGGAGAUUUCAACAUGCAGCAGAGGGUGCAUACUUUCAAGUGUGAGCACGCGUGCACACACACACACACACACACACACACACACUAGAGCAGGGGUCCUAGUGCAGCACCUGUGAGUUCAGGGGCACCUUGAGGUUUUCCUCUCAUGCCCAUGAAACCUCUGAGCUCCCACACAGACUGGCCCCUUGGCCAGUAGGUGGUGAAGGUGGCAACCUUUAUGCCCUUUCAAAAGUUGAGAGAGCUGAAGGUGGAAGUUUGAAAAGGGACACUCUUUCCAACUUCCUCUUUCAGCUCUAUGUGCUUUUCAAGACUCAGAUCAAUUCUACUGGAACUGACUUUAACCCAAGUCCCUUGGAGAAGCAAAAUGUGUCUGCAUGUAUGCUUCUGUCUGUCUACGUUAGGGGACAGUUGUGACCAGAGGGGAUGAUACCCAUAGCACUCACUCAAAAACAGUGUAAGAAAAUGUAAAUCCAUUAAUUAGGUGUACUGUAUCUAUUUAUAAUCUCUGAACAAAUUACACUGAGAUUUAGUAUAAAAUGAGAAUGGAAAAUAUGCAUUGUAAUUAUAUAUGCACUUUUAUUGUUGUUUUUUCUCUCCUUCAGUUUUUCUUUUCUCUUUAAUAUUAUAUGUUAUGUAUUCUGUAUUUGUAUAGUAUAUGAAAGAAUAAAAUUGAAGGGGAGAAAAAAGGAAGAACGAAAACUCAUAUGUUCCCAUGAGCCUAAGAAGGUUGACAAGCACUGUGCUAGACUGUCUGUGUACCCUGCUGUACAGAGGGCAGGACUCCUAUGUUAAGGGUCCCGGUCAUCCUCUGUUGAAAGCCCUGCCCAAGUUCAGUUUAGAGAAAAGACCCAUAGGAAGGGAGAACAGGGCCUUGAAGUUGUUCAUCCACAGAUAGCUCCCCCACGGCAGACUGAACAGCAGACAACAUCCAGGUCACCCGGCCACAGUCUUCCCUUCUAUGGUGAGAUGUAUGGUAUUUUUACUUGAAUUACAGUAAUUAUUUCUAAAUUUGCAGCUGUACCUAUAAAUUAGCAUAUGCAAACCAGUGUGGUCUCCCUAACAUACAAACACACAAACACCUGACAAGAACCUUAGCAAUGGAGGCAUAAAGAAAGGGGUAGAAAUGAAAGAAUGCAUAUCAUUCUGCCACUAGACAACCUUUGAUCAAAGGUUACAACAGAUUUCAAGGCAUGGCAGAGAACAAUAAGGAAGACUAUCAUUUUACGUGAAGGUCUGCAAUGGUAACAUGAUGACAGGUACAUUAAAAUAGAAAAAGCAUCUAAUGUGUGGAUCUGGCUACGUGCAAGCAGAAUUUUAUGGGCAGAUGCUAUUUUAUCCCCAGUAAGAUGUUAGGGGUCAGGAAGGGUCCAGUUGCAGAGGUCACAGAGUUGUGUUUGUUGGCAUGGUCUGAAUCACUCUUCUCCUUAGCUCCAACACAAUUCCCUGCAAAGCAGGUAAUCAUGACCAAGGUCUUGUGCAUAUGUGCAGUUUCUCUUGAGGUCCACUUCACAUGGUGUGGAAAACACUUUGGCCUGGGAGGAAGUGGGAGCCCCAGUGUGUGGACUGUCAGAUUUCCUACAGCUUUUGAGGAUGGCUUCCCAUGUAAAUAGUUUCCAUCACAGGAGUGUUUUGGCAAGACCAUUCUAAAAACAUUGAGCAAAAGCGGGGGGGGGGGGAGGGAUUAAAUGAGUCUGCUUCUGAGAAAGCUUCAAAAUAUGUGGGUCUUUCCUGCUGAUAGUCUCAAAGUGUGGUUCCCAAGCUUUCAGUCAGGUCAGAAGGCCUGCAUCUUAGAAAAUGAGUCUUGCAAUGUCAGCAAAUAUAAUUUGUAAAUGGUUAGAUACAUGUCUAUUUCAUUGCCAAGAACAGUUUCUGGGAAGCUAAGCGCAGAACAUAACUUGAGAAUGAGAUGACUAUUCUGUAAAUGAGUUCUGCAACAAAAUGGUGCAGUGCAAAAUGCUGCUGUCCAAGAUGCUAGCUGCUCCACUCUUCCCCUUCCUUAUUUUUUCAUCCAUGACACCUUGUUCUAGAAUCAGUGGAGGCUUGGUUUUUUCCUAUGUAAAUCUGCACACCAUCUAGAUCUUCUCCUUCUUCUUUUUGCCCCUGAAAAGUACUUCUUGAGAAUCUGGUUUCAUUCCAAAUAUAAAAGCUCAUUGUAGAUUGAUUUGGCAUUACUCUGCACUGUGCCCAUUUGAAAACAGAUGUAGGCAGUUCUGGCAAUCGGAGAUGUAUCUACACCUGCCCAAUGAUGCUGAGGGUGGGCAUAUACCAGGAUCGUAAUCACUGCUCCCUUCUCCAUUCACCUGGGGCACGUACAGGGAGGAAAAGGUGUGGAUGACCUAAUCAAGGGGAAAGUUUUCAAACAUUUAUCAAACAACCACAGCCACCCUUGUGGACAGCAGGAUCUAAUCAAUCUAGAUUGACAGCAGCAUGAUGAGGACAAGCAUGAACUAUUCCAGAAUGAGAAAAACUACUUUUUGUGCUGAACAUAAGAAAGAGAGCAAAUCAUUCUAUUUUAUUUUGGCAGAUUGUGUUACCCCAUAUAUUCCCACUUGACUGCUUCAAUAUGCAGAACUGAACAUGUUACAGGUGCCACAUAAUAUUCAUUCCACACUUCUCAGAAAUCAUUUUUUUUGGGGGGGGGGGGCAUCACCUAAACUUUGAAACUCACUGCCUAUUGACAUUAGGCAGACACCUUUGCUGUCUUAUUUAAGCACCUGCUUAAAACAUUGUUGUUUAGGCAAGCAUAUCAAGACAUGUUAAAGUUACCUGUGUUUUAUCACUUUUUAGCAACCGUUGAUUUUAAUUAUCUUUGAAUGUUUUAAAAUACCCAUAUUUUAAUUGAGAACUUGAAGGUUUUAUUUUAUAUUCUCUUAAACCACUUAGAAGUUUUAUGGCAAUCAAGAGGUAUAGACCUUUUGUUAAAUGAAUAAAUCAAUCUACUCUUUUAUUCCAUUCUGUUCUAAGUUCUGUGUUUCCGUUCUCAUAGAAGGAGACUCUCCACCACCACCUGCCCCACUGCCGUGGUCUUGGGGUUGUUGCUUU